CAGGCACUAAAUUCCAGGGGUUUCGUUCAACGACGUAAAGUGGGCGUGUUUCGGAGGUCUUGGAAAACGCCCACUUUCAAAAAAAAAAAAAAAAAAAAAGACACGUCACCGCUCAUGCGCAGAACGCUGUUUCAUUUGGCGGGCAUUUCCAAUCCCAGGAUCAUCUCAGAUGGAUAAUGAAGGAGAAAUAAAAGUCUGAUGACAGAGUGUCCCACUCUCUGUGAAAUGAAGCGUGAUAUACUGUAUGCUUGUCAGCACGGAAAGAACUACAAGAAGACAACCACAACAGAUGAUUUGCUUACUGAACAUGAAUACACAAGAAGACAAAGGUUCCAUGUGGAUUGUCCAGCAAAACUUUAUGUCCGAUACGUAGAAAGGCAUGCACUGGGCUUUGGCCGUAAGUCAUAUAUGUCCAGAUGUUUUAUUUAACAGAAAGUACCUCACAAAAGGAGCACAGGGUCAAGAAAGGAUGCAUCUUGGAGGCUUCCAGAUGGACCAUCGGCCGAAUGAGAACUUUUGCAAUUCCUAAACAGUCGAAUGGCAAUGACUGUGGUGUUUUUGUCUGUAAAUAUGCAGACCUCCUUUCUCAAGGAAAGCCAUUCACAUUCAGACAGUGUGACAUUCCACUCUUCAGAUUCUGUAAGCCCUGAAGCAACCAGUCCUUCAAACAUAAUGAAACAUCUUAUGUUCUUUUUGUGUAAAUUAAAUUUAGUAUGAAACUAUGAAUAAUUGCAAGGGCUUGAAGAUGAAUAAAAUCUGAUGUCAUCUGAAGAUGAAGUAUGAAGAUGAAUAAAA